rnacentral:rRNA from 1 species
GACGAACGCUGGCGGCGUGCUUAACACAUGCAAGUCGAACGAUGAAGCCCAGCUUGCUGGGUGGAAGAGUGGCGAACGGGUGAGUAACACGUGAGUAGCCUGCCCCGGACUCUGGGAUAAGCGCUGGAAACGGCGUCUAAUACUGGAUAUGCACCAUACCGGCAUCGGUUGUGGUGGGAAAGAUUUAUCGGUUCGGGAUGGGCUCGCGGCCUAUCAGCUGGAUGGUGAGGUAACGGCUCACCAUGGCGACGACGGGUAGCCGGCCUGAGAGGGUGACCGGCCACACUGGGACUGAGACACGGCCCAGACUCCUACGGGAGGCAGCAGUGAGGAAUAUUGGUCAAUGGGCGCAAGCCUGAACCAGCCAUCCCGCGUGAAGGAAGAAGGCGCUAUGCGUUGUAAACUUCUUUUCCAGGGGGUGAAUAAUUCCGAUGUAUCGGGAGACGACGGUACCCUGGGAAUAAGCAUCGGCUAACUCCGUGCCAGCAGCCGCGGUAA